rnacentral:rRNA from 1 species
CGGCGAGUGAAUGGGGAUGAGCCCAGCACCGAAGACUGUGGUCGUUUGGCUACAAGUCAAUGUGGUGUUUAGGUCGUUCCGCGGAGUCACUGCUCCACCCUAAGUCCGUAAAUGAGAACGGUCUUAUGGACAUGGCCCAUGGAGGGUGUGAGGCCCGUGGGGGUGGAGUCUUUGAGGCCAGUGACUUCCUGGAUAGACCUUGGAGUCGGGUUGUUUGUGAAUGCAGCCCAAAGCGGGUGGUAAACUCCAUCCAAGGCUAAAUACAAGCACGAGUCCGAUAGUAAACAAGUACCGUGAGGGAAAGUUGAAAAGUACUCUGAAGAGAGAGUAAACAGUGCGUGAAACCGGUCAGAGGUAAACGGGUGGAGUUGAACUGCAAGCUCUGAGAAUUCAGCUGGUGAGUGUGGUUCGGGCUUGGCCGUGAUCGAUUGGAGCCCGGAGUCUGUGUAGCAACAGGCCUUCCUUGUGGGGGUGCGCGAUACACUUGUCAAGUGUUGUGCGCUUCGGGUGUCGUUCGGGCGGACUUGCCAGUGCACUUUCUCAGAGUAGUCACCACGACCGGCAUCGCUGUCUGGCCGUUGCGGUUAAAUCGAUCUUGCAUUGUCCCCGUGGCUCUGCUUGGUCGAGAUGGCAGGUAGCUCGUUGGCCUGCUUGCGGCUUGCCGCAGGCGUUCGGUUUUCGAGUGUAGAUCGGCUGACCGCCUCGGUUGCUGUGCAGUAUGUCGGAGACGGCGGCCUGUUGUGUGCGUGCGUGCGUGCCUGUUCGGCCGGCGCGUCCGGGCUUGGUUGUUAUGUUGCCUGUGUUCGCAGGCCUGGUGAUGGCUCGGACUCGUGCGGUCGGCGGUCGCGUGCGCGUCACAGUGUGAGGCCGAUAGUCUGUGGUGUAGUGGUAGACUAUCCACCUGACCCGUCUUGAAACACGGACCAAGGAGAGUAACGUGUGCGCGAGUCAUUGGGCGUUACGAAACCCAAAGGCGCAGUGAAAGUGAAGGUCUGGCUUGUCCGGACUGAGGUGAGAUCCUGUCGUUUCUCAUGCGCGGUACCACCAAGCUUCGAGCGGCAGGCGCAUCACCGGCCCGUCCCAUGACAAUUGUUUUCGGAUCUAACCCAGUCGGGGCGGAGCAUGAGCGCACACGUUGAGACCCGAAAGAUGGUGAACUAUGCUUGCGCAGGUUGAAGCCAGAGGAAACUCUGGUGGAAGACCGAAGCGGUUCUGACGUGCAAAUCGAUCGCCAGACGUGAGUAUAGGGGCG